ensembl:snRNA U6 U6 spliceosomal RNA
UUGUUAUAGCAGCACAUACACUAACACUGGAACUAGACAGAGAAGAUUUGUAAGGGCCUUGAACAAGGAUGACACACAAAUCCAAGAAGUGUUUCAUAUUAAA